GAUGAACGCUGGCGGCGUGCCUAAUACAUGCAAGUCGAGCGAAGGGACGAGAAGCUUGCUUCUCUGAUGUUAGGGGCGGACGGGUGAGUAACACGUGGAUAACCUACCUAUAAGACUGGGAUAACUUCGGGAAACCGGAGCUAAUACCGGAUAAUAUUUUGAACCGCAUGGUUCAAAAGUGAAAGACGGUCUUGCUGUCACUGAUAGAUGGAUCCGCGCUGCAUUAGCUAGUUGGUAAGGUAACGGCUUACCAAGGCAACGAUGCAUAGCCGACCUGAGAGGGUGAUCGGCCACACUGGAACUGAGACACGGUCCAGACUCCUACGGGAGGCAGCAGUAGGGAAUCUUCCGCAAUGGGCGAAAGCCUGACGGAGCAACGCCGCGUGAGUGAUGAAGGUCUUCGGAUCGUAAAACUCUGUUAUUAGGGAAGAACAUAUGUGUAAGUAACUGUGCACAUCUUGACGGUACCUAAUCAGAAAGCCACGGCUAACUACGUG
rnacentral:rRNA from 1 species